CACCUCUGUAACUGUUGCUUGCUGCUUUCUCUUUAGGCAACACCCAAAGCCACUGUCAGAUGUCAUGGAGAUGAGACCUCACAAGCCUACUCAACGUGAAGAUGAUGAGAAUGAAGACCUUUAUGAUGAUCUGCUUCCACUUAAAGAAUAGCCCAUCAUGAUCUGAAGGCAGCGGUGGUUGCUGGUGGAGGAUGUGAGCUUUGGAACUGGAGCUCUUUGAUUCAAAGCUCUGCCGCUUACUCACUGGAUAAGACCAUGAUCAAGUUAUUUCAUCUGAAAAAUUGAGUUGACUGCAGGUAACUGAAACUGCGGAAAGUGAAACUGCAGAUAAGAGGGACCACUGUAAAUAAGUGACAUGAAUGAUACUGCAAAGGACCAUAGCCUAACCAGCCAAGCAAACUGGAAGUACCUUUAGACUCACGCUUUGCCAAGCUCAGUUCCAGAAUCACAUGAUGAAAAGAAUGAUGGAAAGAAAAUGUUUGUGAUAUUAAAAUUAAGGAAAUUACUCCAA
rnacentral:lncRNA from 1 species